rnacentral:rRNA from 1 species
GCGUGCCUACACAUGCAAGUCGAACGGGAAUCUUCGGAUUCUAGUGGCGGACGGGUGAGUAACGCGUAAGAAUCUAACUUCAGGACGGGGACAACAGUUGGAAACGACUGCUAAUACCCGAUGUGCCGAAAGGUGAAACCUAAUUGGCCUGAAGAAGAGCUUGCGUCUGAUUAGCUAGUUGGUGGGGUAAGAGCCUACCAAGGCGACGAUCAGUAGCUGGUCUGAGAGGAUGAGCAGCCACACUGGGACUGAGACACGGCCCAGACUCCUACGGGAGGCAGCAGUGGGGAAUUUUCCGCAAUGGGCGAAAGCCUGACGGAGCAACGCCGCGUGAGGGAGGAAGGUCUUUGGAUUGUAAACCUCUUUUCUCAAGGAAGAAGUUCUGACGGUACUUGAGGAAUCAGCCUCGGCUAACUCCGUGCCAGCAGCCGCGGUAAUACGGGGGAGGCAAGCGUUAUCCGGAAUUAUUGGGCGUAAAGCGUCCGCAGGUGGUCAGCCAAGUCUGCCGUCAAAUCAGGUUGCUUAACGACCUAAAGGCGGUGGAAACUGGCAGACUAGAGAGCAGUAGGGGUAGCAGGAAUUCCCAGUGUAGCGGUGAAAUGCGUAGAGAUUGGGAAGAACAUCGGUGGCGAAAGCGUGCUACUGGGCUGUAUCUGACACUCAGGGACGAAAGCUAGGGGAGCGAAAGGGAUUAGAUACCCCUGUAGUCCUAGCCGUAAACGAUGGGAUACUAGGCGUGGCUUGUAUCGACCCGAGCCGUGCCGAAGCUAACGCGUUAAG